UACGUAGGUGGCAAGCGUUGUCCGGAUUUAUCUGGGCGUAAAGGGCGUGCAGGCGGUUUGUUAAGUGCAGGGUGAAAGCUCCCGGCUCAACUGGGAGAGGUCCUUGCAUACUGGCAAACUCGAGGGAGGCAGAGGAAAGUGGAAUUCCCGGUGUAGUGGUGAUAUGCGUAGAUAUCGGGAGGAACACCUGUGGCGAAGGCGGCUUUCU
rnacentral:rRNA from 1 species